UUACACUUUAUAUAAAUUAUAAUAUUACCUGGGUACUAAACAGUUAUUGUCUUGAAACUCAAAGGAUUUGGCGGUAGCUUAGUCUAUUUAGAGGAACCUGUCCUGUAAUCGAUAGUCCACGAAAAAUCUUACUUUAUCUUGUAAAAACAGUUUGUAUACCGUCAUUAUUAGACAACUUUAAUAAAAUCUAAAGUUGUUGAAAGAGUUUGGCUAAUAUAUUAGAUCAAGGUGCAGCUCAUGAUAAAGGAAGAGAUGGGUUACAAUAUAACAAUUAUAGACGGAGUAAUAAGUGAACGUUUGUUACUGAAGGUGGAUUUAAAAGUAAAAAGAUUUUAAUAAGGUCUGUUGACUUUAGCUCUAGG
rnacentral:rRNA from 1 species